GCACAAAUUUUAUUCUUCCUAGCUCACAUUUAUGGUUACAAGGAAUUAAGUCUUAUACUGGACACAACCUUGCGAAUACAUAACACACCCACUAAUGUAGGCUGGGCCCGGAGCCGGUUGCUAGUACAAUGCCCGUGCGUUGCCUGGGCAAAAUACAGGAAAAUAAAUCAAACUGGUGACUAAGUGACAUGAGUGAAGUCCUACGAAUAUAUAUCAUCUUUUAUCAAUUUCUUUAGCAGAUACUAUAAGAGCAACUAUGCAUCGGUCACAUGUUUUUUAUCGGUGGUAAAAUUUGGUGAUCAUCGUCUUCUUCCUCCUCUUUGUCUUCCUCCUUCCGUCCCAAUGACCCAUCCUCCGACGCUGGUCGUGGCCGAUGUCAAUAUCGUGUGCCACCCUACCUGAGCCGCCUUAAGCUUCUUCAUUGGUUCACCAUUGCCCCAACACUGAUCGAGGCCGGUGUCGAUGCUGCCCUGCUCAUUCUCAAAACAAUUAUGCAAAUCUCAGAUGAUCUGUUAAACAAAACAUGUUAUCAGUGCUUGGCGAGAUGGCAUGUGCACAACUUAUAUGAAGCAUGUGAAAGAGGGUAUCAUGUUUUUAGAGUUAUGGAUUGAUCAGUAUCAGCAUGCAUGGAAACUUAAUGCUUUCCAGAAUUAAGCCACAUUUUUUUCAAGCAAAGCACCAUAUUUUUCUUAUGCUCUAGAAGGGUGAAGGAACUGAAAUCAACCUUAAUGUUUGGCACAAUUUUUCAACAAUGUAUUGAAACUCGUAGACCCUUUGUUCUGUAUUGAAACUCCUAGACCUUUCACUCCAGCUUUGUUUGGUUUCUCUGACCACCAAUGACACAUGAAGAUAACCACAAGUGUCCCGUCUUCAGUGUGGCCAUGACACAGUCCAGGAGCCUAAGCCAAAUAUCCUCAAGCAUGAGUACAAGCCAUGCCCGCUGCACUUUCUUGUAUAUCUCAUAUUAAAUUAUUAAUAAAACAAGAAAAUUGUAGUUUGGUGCAGCUAGGAUAGACAACUUUGGUACUUUCCAGUUAACAUGAAAACUGUACACCUAUACAGAACAGAAGCAACUUUUGCAGGAACAAAAUUGGAUAGCAGAAAAGCUGUUUGACAGCCAAAUGCAUACUAACAAACUAUUAGUACAGAUUUUGGCUCCCAACGAAUUUAGAGAGAAGCACUAAAAGAAGCAUGGAGAAUGCCACCAUACUUACCAGCGGCAACACGGGGAGAUGAGCGGGCAGAAUGUAUCUUGCCUGAUCAAAGUCAUUAAACCUUGAUCCGUCGUUCUGUGUCCAUAGGUGGUGCCAGACAGUGCGGACGACAGCGCAAUGCGAGAUUGCAUCCAGUAGGUUUGAAGGGGCGCGUAGACGCGGAGCCCGACGGCGAUGGCUGCGGAAAAUAGGACGGCGUCAGCGUCGAGGGCGCACAUGAGAGGAGCAGCACGGCAGAUCGGCGAUCGUGGCAUCGGCGAUGCGCUUGAUCCGGCCUACGUACAAACAAUUAAUGUAGAAACAAUAAGAUUACAG
rnacentral:lncRNA from 1 species